UGGGGAAUAUUGGACAAUGGGCGAAAGCCUGAUCCAGCAAUGCCGCGUGAGUGAUGAAGGCCUUAGGGUUGUAAAGCUCUUUUACCCGGGAAGAUAAUGACUGUACCGGGAGAAUAAGCCCCGGCUAACUCCGUGCCAGCAGCCGCGGUAAUACGGAGGGGGCUAGCGUUGUUCGGAAUUACUGGGCGUAAAGCGCACGUAGGCGGUUUUGUAAGUUAGAGGUGAAAGCCUGGGGCUCAACUCCAGAAUUGCCUUUAAGACUGCAUCACUUGAACACGGGAGAGGUGAGUGGAAUUCCGAGUGUAGAGGUGAAAUUCGUAGAUAUUCGGAAGAACACCAGUGGCGAAGGCGGCUCACUGGACCGUUGUUGACGCUGAGGUGCGAAAGCGUGGGGAGCAAACAGG
rnacentral:rRNA from 1 species